CGCUGAAACACCGAUUCCUAUAUGUCCACCGAAGUUAAGCAACAUCGAGCCUUGUCAGUACCUAGAUGGGUGACCGCUUGAGAAUACUAGGUUUCUGUAA